GGGUUGUGAGGUUAAGCGACUAAGCGUACACGGUGGAUGCCCUGGCAGUCAGAGGCGAUGAAGGACGUGCUAAUCUGCGAUAAGCGUCGGUAAGGUGAUAUGAACCGUUAUAACCGGCGAUUUCCGAAUGGGGAAACCCAGUGUGUUUCGACACACUAUCAUUAACUGAAUCCAUAGGUUAAUGAGGCGAACCGGGGGAACUGAAACAUCUAAGUACCCCGAGGAAAAGAAAUCAACCGAGAUUCCCCCAGUAGCGGCGAGCGAACGGGGAGCAGCCCAGAGCCUGAAUCAGUGUGUGUGUUAGUGGAAGCGUCUGGAAAGGCGCGCGAUACAGGGUGACAGCCCCGUACACAAAAAUGCACAUAUUGUGAGCUCGAUGAGUAGGGCGGGACACGUGGUAUCCUGUCUGAAUAUGGGGGGACCAUCCUCCAAGGCUAAAUACUCCUGACUGACCGAUAGUGAACCAGUACCGUGAGGGAAAGGCGAAAAGAACCCCGGCGAGGGGAGUGAAAAAGAACCUGAAACCGUGUACGUACAAGCAGUGGGAGCACGCUUAGGCGUGUGACUGCGUACCUUUUGUAUAAUGGGUCAGCGACUUAUAUUCUGUAGCAAGGUUAACCGAAUAGGGGAGCCGAAGGGAAACCGAGUCUUAACUGGGCGUUAAGUUGCAGGGUAUAGACCCGAAACCCGGUGAUCUAGCCAUGGGCAGGUUGAAGGUUGGGUAACACUAACUGGAGGACCGAACCGACUAAUGUUGAAAAAUUAGCGGAUGACUUGUGGCUGGGGGUGAAAGGCCAAUCAAACCGGGAGAUAGCUGGUUCUCCCCGAAAGCUAUUUAGGUAGCGCCUCGUGAAUUCAUCUCCGGGGGUAGAGCACUGUUUCGGCAAGGGGGUCAUCCCGACUUACCAACCCGAUGCAAACUGCGAAUACCGGAGAAUGUUAUCACGGGAGACACACGGCGGGUGCUAACGUCCGUCGUGAAGAGGGAAACAACCCAGACCGCCAGCUAAGGUCCCAAAGUCAUGGUUAAGUGGGAAACGAUGUGGGAAGGCCCAGACAGCCAGGAUGUUGGCUUAGAAGCAGCCAUCAUUUAAAGAAAGCGUAAUAGCUCACUGGUCGAGUCGGCCUGCGCGGAAGAUGUAACGGGGCUAAACCAUGCACCGAAGCUGCGGCAGCGACGCUUAUGCGUUGUUGGGUAGGGGAGCGUUCUGUAAGCCUGCGAAGGUGUACUGUGAGGUAUGCUGGAGGUAUCAGAAGUGCGAAUGCUGACAUAAGUAACGAUAAAGCGGGUGAAAAGCCCGCUCGCCGGAAGACCAAGGGUUCCUGUCCAACGUUAAUCGGGGCAGGGUGAGUCGACCCCUAAGGCGAGGCCGAAAGGCGUAGUCGAUGGGAAACAGGUUAAUAUUCCUGUACUUGGUGUUACUGCGAAGGGGGGACGGAGAAGGCUAUGUUGGCCGGGCGACGGUUGUCCCGGUUUAAGCGUGUAGGCUGGUUUUCCAGGCAAAUCCGGAAAAUCAAGGCUGAGGCGUGAUGACGAGGCACUACGGUGCUGAAGCAACAAAUGCCCUGCUUCCAGGAAAAGCCUCUAAGCAUCAGGUAACAUCAAAUCGUACCCCAAACCGACACAGGUGGUCAGGUAGAGAAUACCAAGGCGCUUGAGAGAACUCGGGUGAAGGAACUAGGCAAAAUGGUGCCGUAACUUCGGGAGAAGGCACGCUGAUAUGUAGGUGAAGUCCCUCGCGGAUGGAGCUGAAAUCAGUCGAAGAUACCAGCUGGCUGCAACUGUUUAUUAAAAACACAGCACUGUGCAAACACGAAAGUGGACGUAUACGGUGUGACGCCUGCCCGGUGCCGGAAGGUUAAUUGAUGGGGUCAGCGCAAGCGAAGCUCUUGAUCGAAGCCCCGGUAAACGGCGGCCGUAACUAUAACGGUCCUAAGGUAGCGAAAUUCCUUGUCGGGUAAGUUCCGACCUGCACGAAUGGCGUAAUGAUGGCCAGGCUGUCUCCACCCGAGACUCAGUGAAAUUGAACUCGCUGUGAAGAUGCAGUGUACCCGCGGCAAGACGGAAAGACCCCGUGAACCUUUACUAUAGCUUGACACUGAACAUUGAGCCUUGAUGUGUAGGAUAGGUGGGAGGCUUUGAAGUGUGGACGCCAGUCUGCAUGGAGCCGACCUUGAAAUACCACCCUUUAAUGUUUGAUGUUCUAACGUUGACCCGUGAUCCGGGUUGCGGACAGUGUCUGGUGGGUAGUUUGACUGGGGCGGUCUCCUCCUAAAGAGUAACGGAGGAGCACGAAGGUUGGCUAAUCCUGGUCGGACAUCAGGAGGUUAGUGCAAUGGCAUAAGCCAGCUUGACUGCGAGCGUGACGGCGCGAGCAGGUGCGAAAGCAGGUCAUAGUGAUCCGGUGGUUCUGAAUGGAAGGGCCAUCGCUCAACGGAUAAAAGGUACUCCGGGGAUAACAGGCUGAUACCGCCCAAGAGUUCAUAUCGACGGCGGUGUUUGGCACCUCGAUGUCGGCUCAUCACAUCCUGGGGCUGAAGUAGGUCCCAAGGGUAUGGCUGUUCGCCAUUUAAAGUGGUACGCGAGCUGGGUUUAGAACGUCGUGAGACAGUUCGGUCCCUAUCUGCCGUGGGCGCUGGAGAACUGAGGGGGGCUGCUCCUAGUACGAGAGGACCGGAGUGGACGCAUCACUGGUGUUCGGGUUGUCAUGCCAAUGGCACUGCCCGGUAGCUAAAUGCGGAAGAGAUAAGUGCUGAAAGCAUCUAAGCACGAAACUUGCCCCGAGAUGAGUUCUCCCUGACUCCUUGAGAGUCCUGAAGGAACGUUGAAGACGACGACGUUGAUAGGCCGGGUGUGUAAGCGCAGCGAUGCGUUGAGCUAACCGGUACUAAUGAACCGUGAGGCUUAACCUUACAACGCCGAAG
rnacentral:rRNA from 1 species